rnacentral:rRNA from 1 species
UUGACCUCAAAUCGGGUGGGACUACCCGCUGAACUUAAGCAUAUCAAUAAGCGGAGGAAAAGAAACUAACAAGGAUUCCCCUAGUAACGGCGAGUGAAGAGGGAAAAGCUCAAAUUUUGAAUCUGGUGUCUUUGGCGCCCGAGUUGUAAUCUAGAGAAGUGUUUUCCGUGUCGGACCGUGCACAAGUUCCCUGGAACGGGGCGUCAUANAGGGUGAGAAUCCCGUAUAUGGCAUGGGCUGCCGAUGCUUUUGUGAUACACUCUCAACGAGUCGAGUUGUUUGGGAAUGCAGCUCAAAAUGGGUGGUAAAUUCCAUCUAAAGCUAAAUAUUGGCGAGAGACCGAUAGCGAACAAGUACCGUGAGGGAAAGAUGAAAAGCACUUUGGAAAGAGAGUGAAA